rnacentral:rRNA from 1 species
UACAGGGGGGGCAAGCGUUGUUCGGAAUUACUGGGCGUAAAGAGCUCGUAGGUGGUUUGUCGCGUUGUUCGUGAAAACUCACAGCUCAACUGUGGGCGUGCGGGCGAUACGGGCAGACUGGAGUACUGCAGGGGAGACUGGAAUUCCUGGUGUAGCGGUGGAAUGCGCAGAUAUCAGGAGGAACACCGGUGGCGAAGGCGGGUCUCUGGGCCGAUGACUGACGCUGGAGGAGCGAAAGCGUGGGGAGCAAACGGG